rnacentral:sRNA from 1 species
GCCAUCUUUGUUUUGCCGCGCUGCUCUCUACAAGAGAAGACCUGUGUGAUCGCUGUGGAAGCAUGAUGACAUGAAGACAAGACGUACGAAGAACAGCGCACGGUCCUGAUCCAACACAGACUUUCGCUGAUGCGUAACAAAGAGCUUCUUACAAUUUCUAGGAGAACCCAAUCUUUUAACAAAGGUCCUUGUAUAGAGGAGAAACAUUUGAGAAAGCUAUUUCCAGUUCCCAAGUUUAUAACCUCUCUACUGAGCAUGAUGGCGUAUCCCUGUACUCCCAGGACUUGAGAGACAGAAGCAAGGGUGACCUGUCUGUCAGUCCUAAAUGAAGGCCAAGAGUGCUGCAAUUCUCUCAACCUGAGAAGCUGACACUUCCCGGUAGAAUCUGCUAAUGUUUACUGAUAUAGGGCAUUUUAUCGUCCUGGGGUGCUCCCACUUGUGACUUCCUUUGUAAGCAAUACUUUAAGAAAAACUAUGAUUAUGUUUUUGAUCUUAAAUGGUUCCCAAAACUCGUGGGUUCAAGAUUUGGUCCCCAACAUAACAGUGUUCAGAGUCAGAGCAUCUGAGAGGUUCCUGAAUCAUGACCACUCUGGCCUUAUAAAGAGAUCUAUUAAUUUAUGGAUUUAUGACUUAACAGGCUCUUAGGAGUAGACAGAAAGUUGAGGAGACACUGGAGAAAGCAGGUCACUAGAGGCAUGGCCCUGAAAGGUAUAUUGGGACCUCACCUUUCUUCCCAGUUUUCAUGAGAUGACCAGUAAACCCUGCCAUAUGCUCCCCACCCUGACAGUCUGUCUCAUUACAGGCCCAGCAACUUAGCCAACUGUCCAUGGGUGGGAGCCUUUGAAACGGAGUCAAAGUAAACCUCUCCUUCUUUAAGUUCUUGCCUCAUGUCUUAUGUUACCUCAGGGAGAACACAGCCAUAUGUAAACUUAAGAUCAGAAAGCCCUGAGAAGUUCACUACCUUUCUCCUGGAAAACUUAGCUAUUUGCAAAGUACCCCCAAUGCAAGAGACCCAUCCACAGUAAGCCUCGAUGUUUGUCACCCAAGGUGCCAUUACAGGGGGCAAUUUUUGAAAGGCUUUUCGAUGGAGGGAAAGCUCUGUUGCUCCAUGGAGGAUCCCAUCCCAAGUAGGAAAGGGAUCACUGAUGCCUGUCAAACAGCCCUCCUGAGGAGAGCAGAAUCAAAACAGAAAACUUCUGCCUUAACGAGUCGCUCCCACAAAGCACAGUAUCAGUCAGCGUGUGCUAAAAUGAUGCUGCUUAACAAACACUGACACAGCCUCCGUGACACACAGCACAUGGAAGAGCAGAAGUGUAUCCAUCAUGCAUCUGGUGUCGGCUGGAAUUCAUUGGCCAGAUGGUCAUUGAUUGGCUAGGGCAACUGGGAUUCUGCUUCAUCAGCCUAUCAUCUUUCAGGAUGCUGGUCCAAGCAAGCCUCAUGGCAAUGGCUAAGGAGCAGAAGUGAUCAGGUCCAUUUUUACAAGCAACUUUUAUAUCUCUGUUUUACAUUUGUUAAUAUCAAUUUUCCCCCAAAGAAGAGAUGCACUGAAGCGGCCUCCUCCAGCUUGCAAGAAUCAGUGAUUAAUUAUGUGGUAACUUUGAGAGUUGGCUAUUAGUGUUCUGAUAGAUGGAAAUGAAAAGUGGAAGUCAGUGCCUCCAGAGAGCUGGCAUAUCACUGUCCCAGAGCAAGCCACACGGAUGAGGUCAAAAGGAACAAUCUAGAGCAUCGUGGCUACAUGGGUCGAUGCUUAAAGUUACAUAGAAAAGGGAGUGGAGCGAAGGAGAGGCAAUCUAAUGAACUGGGAACCAUUUUUUUUAUUUAUCACAGAUAUUCAAUAAUGCCAGAACUGAGUGGUUAUUCAGGUUCCAUUCAGUGUGGGACCAGUCAAGUUCCUUUUUAUUUUUUAUUAGGUCAUUUGAAGUCUCAUGCUGAUUCUUCAUGUUGGCAAACUUUCUCCUCCUCAUAAAGAUUCAUGUGGUCUUGGUAUUGCAAGAGCACUUUAAGUCUUUCCAAGGACAAUGGGUAAUAAAAAGCAGGGACCUGUUUCUGCAAGUGCCAAAAGCUCUAGGGUUGGGACCACAACCAUUGCAGAAAUGGAAACAUAUUUGGGAAAACUGACAGGUGGAAUCCAUCCAAAAUCAAAGUGUUGGAAAGAGGCAUCAGAAAGGUCAAGCUCUUGGCGGAAUCCUAUACAAUGGCUUUUGGGCAGGCACACAGGGGUGGAUACAAGGAAUAUGGAAAACUCAGGGAACCUCCUUACCACUCCAUUUAACACCUGCCUCCCUCACCUGUCAUAGAGGCAUCUGCAAAUUACACAUA